rnacentral:rRNA from 1 species
CCUACGGGUGGCAGCAGUGAGGAAUAUUGGUCAAUGGGCGCGAGCCUGAACCAGCCAAGUAGCGUGAAGGAUGACUGCCCUACGGGUUGUAAACUUCUUUUAUAAAGGAAUAAAGUGCGGCACGUGUGCCUUUUUGCAUGUACUUUAUGAAUACGGCUCGGCUAACUCCGUGCCAGCAGCCGCGGUAAUACGGAGGUUCCGAGCGUUAUCCGGAUUUAUUGGGUGUAAAGGGAGCGUAGAUGGGUUGUUAAGUCAGUUGUGAAAGUUUGCGGCUCAACCGUAAAAUUGCAAUUGAAACUGGCAGUCUUGAGUACAGUUGAGGUAGGCGGAAUUCGUGGUGUAGCGGUGAAAUGCUUAGAUAUCACGAAGAACUCCGAUUGCGAAGGCAGCUUACUAAACUGCCACUGACAUUGAUGCUCGAAAGUGUGGGUAUCAAACAGGAUUAGAUACCCGAGUAGUC